rnacentral:snRNA from 1 species
UGCAACAUCGACGUAUCAC